ensembl:snRNA U6 U6 spliceosomal RNA
GUGCUUGCUUCAGGAGCACACAUACUAACAUUGGAAGGUCACAGAAAAGUUCAGUGUGGCCUCUGUGCAAGGAUGAUACAAAAUCAAGGAGCAUUCUAUAGGGUUUUU